GGUUUGUUAUUACGAUGAAUCUUUCACGUCUUGGAGUGGAACUGUUACGUUUCCCACCGUUGCUAUGGUGGUUGCUAUGGACGCUUCCACGGGCUAAAGAAAGACAGGGGGAAUCUUGUUGUGGGCAGGAAUAAAGUUUUAGAUCGCUGUGCGCUGACUGGUGUAUGGAUGAGCUCAACAAAUGAUUGCGGUAAAAGCACGUUCAUGGAAAUAAAUACGGUUGUUUGCAUUGACAACGAGAGACUUGUGGAUCAUUGAAAUGCAACUUGUUAACAAGGGAGCGAAGCGCGUCAACUGAUGAAAGGCCGGGGAAGACAUCUCAGUAACUAGCAGUAAUCACCAAGAGUUACAUAAAUGAUUUAACAACUCAAAAAAUUACACAAUGCAACAAUACAAAAAUAAACACACCGCUUGUUUUCGUUUUUGGCAGCGUCCUAAUCAACCAGCAUAACGUACAAAAUGUGACACUGUCACAAUUUAAUGCCGUGAAAUGAAAUUCAGCGUAAAAACAAACCAAACCACAGAUCAUUUCCAAUAACUGAAUGGAUAAUGUGAAAGUGUUAUAUAUAUUUCUCACUAAAAAUGUCAUCAAAAUGUUUUUUUCUGUCCAAACUAUCUUAAAAUAAUGCAUUUUCCACGGAAAAUAAAAGGAAUAGCCGCCAUGUUUUCAUUUUGAGAAGCCUGCAGCAAGCAGUCACGUGACCCUUCGUCAGACCAAUACAAAAGAAUUGGGGGAAAAAACGUGAGCAUCUCACAAUUUUCAGGGCCAAAUUGUGAGAUUGUAACGUUUUGCAUCGUGGACAAACGUGACUAUGUCACAAUUUGAUGUGAGACUGGGUUGCGAAUGCACACUAUGUCCACUGCUAUGCUCACCAGCUCAACAUUAUCAUGCAGCAAGUGACAUCCCGUAUCCCAAAAGUUGGUCAGUUCUUCUCUGACCUAGCUGGAUUCUCAGGAUUUUUUUCAAGAUCCCCCAAGAGAACCAGUGUGCUUGACAGAGUGGUGGCACACAGGCUUCCAAGAGCAAGCACAGUAAGGUGGAACUUCCACAGCCGUGCUGUCAACACUGUGUUUGAGCACAAAGACGACCUCCUUCAGUGCUUCAAACCAUCAGGGACUCAGGUGACUUUGAUCCUACUACUGUCUGUGAAGCUGGAGGUUUUUGUGAGACUCCUGGAGGAUGCUACCUUCUGCUUCUUCCUGGAGCUUUUCCACCGCAUCAUGCCUCAUGUAGGCAUUCUCUACAGUGAAGAACAUCACAGCUGUGUGCCUCAGCAGCAGCCAAGCGCCGCACACUGGGAUCAGAUGAACUACAGAGGAUAGCUACAGAGGUUUGUGACACAAUCCUAGACCAUGCAGAAGAGAGGUUUGCCUUCACCAAACACCUAAUCAGUGCUACACUGCUUCAAGGAGACAGAUUCCAGGAGUAUGACAGCUAGUUCCCUGAAGCAACGCUCAACACCACCAUGGAGGUCUAUCCAAUGCUGAACAAGGGCAAGCUGAAAACUGAACUGUCGCUCAUCUUCAGCAACACAGAGUUCAGGAGUUGCAACGGUGCUGUGGCUCUGUACCAGCUCUUCAUGAGCAACAAUCUUCAGGACACCUACUCAGAGACUGUGUCUCUCCUGAAGAUCCUCAUCACGACUCCAAUGACGACAGCUGAAUCUGAGAGAUGCUUCUCAACACUAAAAAGAAUCAAGACCUUCCUCAGGAACACGAUGUCGCAGGAUCGUCUUAAUACACUGGCCAUGCUCUCUAUGGAAAAGAAACUUGUCAGGAAGACCCCAGAUUUUAACCAUAGAGUCAUUGAGAAAUUUGCAUGUGUCAAAGGCAGAAGAGCAAAACUUGCGUACAAAAAAUAACACAGAUGUAGAGGUGCUGGCUUUAAUCUAUAAAAUGUGAGGAUUUACUUUUUUGUCAUUUAAUAAUGUAGUUGACAGAAGCACUUUGGGCUCAAAGCCUAAGAUAAGAUAAGAUAGGUUUUAUUUGUCACAUGCACAGUUAUAGUAUAAUGCCUAGUGGUUUCAGUAUUUUUUUUCAGGCAAAGUGACAAAUGUUUAUUGCUUUGAUCUUAAAUAUGCAGAUUUGCUGUUUUCUCAUUGUCAUGUAAGGUUGUUAAUGUAAAAAUUAGCUCACAGAAGCACUGUCUGCUUUAAGCCUUAUAUUUAGGUUUUUUUAACAAAAUGUCCAAUGUUUGUUGGUUUCACAGGUAUGGAUUUGUUUUUGUUUAUUUGAGUAUGUAAAUUUAAAUAUGUUGUUCCAAAGAUUUUGCUGGACAGAAGAAGCACUUGGCUGUCUUUGAAGCUGGAAAAAUGAAUUGUUUCUUUUUUUACUUUUGAAGUAAAAAAUAGAUUUGCAUAUUUAUAUAUUCUUAAUUUGUUUAAUUAUAGAAAAGGAGAUUUUAAGGGUUUGUGUGUACCAAUUACACCUUAUCUGGAGCAAAUAAUAUCAAACACUGGGGAGAUAAAUUCAAAUUCACUAGCUGGUAACAUUUACUUGCAUUUAAUUGUCUAUUUGACUCAGCAGUAGUGCUUAGGUGUACCCUCAUAGUGGUGCAUAGUAAUAGCACAUCAAAUGGCUGUGAACAUAGUUUACAUCAAUUCUUGUAUUCCGGUGUUGCCGGUUUGGUAAAUUAAGUGCGCCCCCCAAGAGAAAAAUUCACCGGUCACCACUGAUCCUAAUCCUAACAGUUGUGAAGCAAACUGGAUGAACACUUGGUUGCAGUUCAUCAUGUCUUCAAAGAGAUGCAAAAUCGACGUUUUAAAGGUUUGAACCAUGCUAUCUGAGGCACCCAAAGGAAUGUUUUUAAGCUUCAAUAACGUAUUUGUACACUUUAAGUUGAAUGUGGAGGGAGUUCAUUUCUGUAGAUUAAAUGCAUUGAUGAGAUGAAAUAUUUCACUGUUAAAACAGGUUCUGCAGUUUCCAUGUUUAAUUGUUUGAUUUAAAAAUAAAUAUUAAAUCAGUUUGUUA